rnacentral:rRNA from 1 species
UAACGCGUGGGUAACCUGCCUCAUACAGGGGGAUAGCAGCUGGAAACGGCUGGUAAUACCGCAUAAGCGCACAAUGUUGCAUGACAUGGUGUGAAAAACUCCGGUGGUAUAAGAUGGACCCGCGUCUGAUUAGCUAGUUGGUGAGAUAACAGCCCACCAAGGCGACGAUCAGUAGCCGACCUGAGAGGGUGACCGGCCACAUUGGGACUGAGACACGGCCCAGACUCCUACGGGAGGCAGCAUG